rnacentral:rRNA from 1 species
UACAGAGGUCUCAAGCGUUGUUCGGAGUCAUUGGGCGUAAAGGGUGCGUAGGCGGCGCGGUAAGUCGGGUGUGAAAUCUCGGAGCUUAACUCCGAAACUGCAUUCGAUACUGCCGUGCUUGAGGACUGGAGAGGAGACUGGAAUUUACGGUGUAGCGGUGAAAUGCGUAGAUAUCGUAAGGAAGACCAGUGGCGAAGGCGGGUCUCUGGACAGUUCCUGACGCUGAGGCACGAAGGUCAGGGGAGCAAACGGG